CACCACCAAGGGGCUGACAUUUUCUCUGGGUCCUAGAUCUCCCUGAGAGCCUGGAUGAGGAGCUUCCUGCAGACGGGGCAGAGGGAAAGUCUCCAUUUACUUCCAAGGUGGCCUCCAGACGGGGCAGAAACAAUGUUGGCCACAUGGACAGAACAUCUCCAUCGUCCCUCAGUGGUCAUUGGGCAUUUCGUGUGAAGGGGCCUUGGGGUCUGAUCACUGCACCCG